AUGGCCUCAGAAGCAGAGCUCAGUUGCGGCCUUCCCAUGCUCUUCGUCGAUCUGCCCCGCCGCCGCGCCGGACGGUGCCGCCUUGCUUUCUCUCCUUCUUUUCCCUCCUUACCCUCACUCCAUCUCUCUCGUGUCGUAGGUGAAGCCAUGGCCAUCUCAAAAAUCUUGUCCACCCGCCGCUGCUCUGGAUUCGGCCGUCACCAUGGUUUCUCGUGUCAGAUCCAGCCACCGUCAGCCAGAUCCGGCGCCCAGCUAGCUGCCCGGACAAUUUCCGCCACCUCGCCGUGUCUCACAGCAACGCGAGACGCCGCCAUGCUCCCAUCUUCCGCCCCUGCACCACCAGCUGCUCAGGGCGUCGUCCCCCAAAUGCAGCUCGGUUGCCGCUCCCCGUGCAGCUCGGGUGCUGCCUUCUCUCCUUUCCACUCGCCAUGCCGCUUGGGGAGGAAAGGAGCGAUGCCGGAGGAGCGCGCUCAUGGCGGGGGCAGAAGGGAACAGGUGCAGUUCACCCCACCGAAGGAGGCAAGGAGCGCGACCGAGCUCCCUCGCCCGAUGCCGGCGAUUUUGGCUUCCUCGUGCAGUUCAACAGGGCCACCAAUGGCCCUCCCGCGACGACCAGCUACAGGCAGUUUGGCCAGCAGCGAUGGCCACCACUCUGCUCUCUCCUUCUUAUCCACAUGUGUUCAUUCACACAGCAGUCUGGCAGCUCCACCAGCGGCAUGUGCAGUUCACUCCAUGCGAGCUCAGAGAUGCUCGCGAUGCCGUUCGGAGGUUGUGUGCGUGCAGUACGGCGAGCGCCAUCUCUUCCCAUUGGUAGAUGAACCAUGGUCGUGCCGCUCGGAAAUGCUCGCCAUGCGGUUUGGGGCUUGUGUGCGUGCAGUCGAGAGAGCGCCAUCUCCAUCUCUUCUCCUGUGGUCCGUCGACCAUGGUUCUGCAGCUCGGAGACACUCGCCAUGCGGUGCAGGGCUCAUGCGUGUGCACUCCGGCAAGGGCCAUCUCUUCCCCUGCAAUCCGCCGACCAUGACAUGCAGUUUUGGCGACUCUCGCAUGCGGUUCAGGGCUCGUUCGCGUGCAAUCCGACGAGCGUCCGUGCACGUCUAA
rnacentral:rRNA from 1 species